AGGGUGCAAGCGUUGUUCGGAAUUAUUGGGCGUAAAGGGUGCGUAGGCGGCGCGGUAAGUCGGGUGUGAAAUCUCGGAGCUUAACUCCGAAACUGCAUUCGAUACUGCCGUGCUUGAGGACUGGAGAGGAGACUGGAAUUUACGGUGUAGCGGUGAAAUGCGUAGAUAUCGUAAGGAAGACCAGUGGCGAAGGCGGGUCUCUGGACAGUUCCUGACGCUGAGGCACGAAGGUCAGGGGAGCAAACGGG
rnacentral:rRNA from 1 species